UGCUAACCCUACCCGCACCCGCCCGUCCCCCAAUUUCUGCCGCCGCCGUCCUCGACCUCGGGGUCUCCGUCCUCGGACCCUUCCCUGCCGCCACCGGCGCCCAUAGCCCCGAGCUCCCGGCCCCCUCCGUCGCCUGCCUUCCGCGUCCCCUUCGCUACCACCACAUGGGCAUCUUCGCUGGCCUGAGUCCCCGCCGACGCCAGUGAGCAUAUCCCAGAUCCCCUGACCCCAUCCGCUGCAAGCCUUCCCCGGUGUCGCAGCCGCCAGCAGCUCUGACCGCCGGGACCAUCACCGACCACCGCUAGCCCUUACGAGGAACCAUGCCAGCGCCCUCCUCUUCCUUCUCUCAGGAAAGGAUCUCUUCUCAAACAAGCUCAGCCACACCUCCACCAAUGGAUCUAUUUGUCAGUCAAAUAUGCCUAGUUGGUUGUAUCUAUCUAUUUGUUUGAUCUGAUAAGCUCUAGUCUGUUAUAUGAUGUUUUAUUUCAUUGAAAAUGCUAUGGAUCUGGAAAAAAAAUUAUGUUACUCUGUUAUGGGUCUGGUGUAACUCUAAUGCUGAUGCAAUAUUGUUCUCAUUGCAGACUAUUCAUGCAUUUAUUUCUCUGAGAAAAUGGUUAUUAUUUGUCUAUAAAGAUGCUUCUUACUUCCAUGUAUUGCCACCAUAUGAGUUAUAACCCCAGACUGAGCUGAGCUGCCUCCACACCAAGGCCUUCCAUGAUCUUCUCUGUAUCUCAACUUUGCUACCCAUCCUACUUGCCAUAUUUUCGAGCACCUUAGUUUUCUGGAUCAACUUAAAUCCACAUCAGUGUGUCAUGAGGUCUCGUGCAUACAAGUUUCAUGCAGUUAUAUGUAAAUUCCACAUGUGAGACUAACAAUUUCCAGUGAACUUUUUCUGCAGUACAUGGUAUGGAGUUUGGGUAUGAAGCCCAUGAAUAUCCGACCAACGGAGUGUUCCAAGUAGAACCGAAAAGUUGUUCCGUUUUUUAUCUUCACUCGCUCUGUUUGCAAUGGUACCACCAAUAUGUCCCGGGCUGAAGUUCGCACCACUUUCCUAGAGGAUCGUGCAGAGGAUUACCAUGGGGACACUUAUCACUUGAUUGCCAGGAACUGUUACCAUUUCACAGCUGACGUCUGCAAGCACUUCACGGGAAAGCCAACUCCUGGAUGGGUGAAUCGACUUGCCAGAUUAGUUGCAGCACUAUGUUCCAUCCGCAACUCUGUGCUGACUGAAAACAUCAAGGUUUCAGCGGUUAGAGGUGAAACUGCACACCUUGAAUUCUCUGCCGAGAACCACAACCACCAGCAUGCAGCUCAGGCAAUGGGCGGAGAACGGAUGGUUGCCCACUUCACGUAAAGCGAAUGGUGGAUGGAAGGCGACCUCACAAGGAACCAGGGCCACGACUUGCAGUGGGCAACCGGUGGCGAAUGGAGGGCUUCCUCGCCGGUUACCUCAUCUAUUAGGUACUUACCCAACUGGUGCACAUGGAUGUGAUGACUUUGCAGCGUUUAUGGACCAACCAACCUGUAAUCAUGGAUAUUACGUGUGUUGUAGACCAUUUGGUGUUUCAGAGCUUGCACUUUGUGAAUGUAGAUACAGACUUGUGUGUUCUGGACCAUCUUAGUUGAAGUCUCUCAUACUAGCAAAUAGUCCCAUCCUUUUGUAACUUGUGUGUUUUGGGUGAUUGUGAAGAUGGCCAAAACUAUGCUUUGUCAA